rnacentral:rRNA from 1 species
AUUGAACGCUGGCGGCAGGCCUAACACAUGCAAGUCGAGCGGAUGAAGGGAGCUUGCUCCUGGAUUCAGCGGCGGACGGGUGAGUAAUGCCUAGGAAUCUGCCUGGUAGUGGGGGAUAACGUCCGGAAACGGGCGCUAAUACCGCAUACGUCCUGAGGGAGAAAGUGGGGGAUCUUCGGACCUCACGCUAUCAGAUGAGCCUAGGUCGGAUUAGCUAGUUGGUGGGGUAAAGGCCUACCAAGGCGACGAUCCGUAACUGGUCUGAGAGGAUGAUCAGUCAAACUGGAACUGAGACACGGUCCAGACUCCUACGGGAGGCAGCAGUGGGGAAUAUUGGACAAUGGGCGAAAGCAUGAUCUAGCCAUGCCGCGUGUGUGAAGAAGGUCUUCGGAUUGUAAAGCACUUUAAGUUGGGAGGAAGGGCAGUAAGUUAAUACCUUGCUGUUUUGACGUUACCAACAGAAUAAGCACCGGCUAACUUCGUG